rnacentral:rRNA from 1 species
UACGUAGGGUGCGAGCGUUGUCCGGAAUUAUUGGGCGUAAAGAGCUUGUAGGCGGUUUGUCGCGUCUGCUGUGAAAAUCCGGGGCUCAACCCCGGACUUGCAGUGGGUACGGGCAGACUAGAGUGUGGUAGGGGGAGACUGGAAUUCCUGGUGUAGCGGUGAAAUGCGCAGAUAUCAGGAGGAACACCGAGUGGCGAAGGCAGGGUCUCUGGGCAUUAACUGACGCUGAGGAGCGAAAGCAUGGGGAGCGAACAGG